GAUGAACGCUGGCGGCGUGCCUAAUACAUGCAAGUCGAGCGAACAGACGAGGAGCUUGCUCCUCUGACGUUAGCGGCGGACGGGUGAGUAACACGUGGAUAACCUACCUAUAAGACUGGGAUAACUUCGGGAAACCGGAGCUAAUACCGGAUAAUAUAUUGAACCGCAUGGUUCAAUAGUGAAAGACGGUUUUGCUGUCACUUAUAGAUGGAUCCCCGCCGCAUUAGCUAGUUGGUAAGGUAACGGCUUACCAAGGCGACGAUGCGUAGCCGACCUGAGAGGGUGAUCGGCCACCCUGGAACUGAGACACGCUCCAGACUCCUACGGGAGGCCCCAGUCGGGAAUCUUCCGCAAUGGGCGGGAGCCUGACGGAGCAGCGCCACGUGAGUGAUGACGGUCUUCGGAGCGUAAAACUCUGUUAUUAGGGAAAAACAAAUGUGUACGUAACUGUGCACGUCUUGACGGUACUUAAUCAGAAAGCCACGGCUAACUACGUG
rnacentral:rRNA from 1 species